GCUGGGCGUGGUGGCUCACGCCUGUAAUCCCAGCACUUUGGGAGGCCGAGGUGGGUGGAUCACCUGAGGUCAGGAGUUCAAGACCAGCCUGGCCAAUAUGGUGAAACUCCGCCUCUA
rnacentral:SRP_RNA from 1 species